UACAGAGGUCUCAAGCGUUGUUCGGAUUCAUUGGGCGUAAAGGGUGCGUAGGCGGCGCGGUAAGUCGGGUGUGAAAUCUCGGGGCUUAACUCCGAAACUGCAUUCGAUACUGCCGUGCUUGAGGACUGGAGAGGAGACUGGAAUUUACGGUGUAGCGGUGAAAUGCGUAGAUAUCGGGAAGAACACCCGUGGCGAAGGCGGCUCUCUGGGACGGUACUGACGCUGAGACGCGAAAGCGUGGGGAGCGAACAGG
rnacentral:rRNA from 1 species